UGUACAUUCUGUUCCACAGCACAACUCAAAACUACAAAGGAAACAAAGGGAGUUCUAUGUAGACAGAAGAAAAAGAACGGCAUGUUUCAUACAGUACUGUAAAUAAGCAAGUAAGCAAUCAAUGACAGAAACCAUUCUUAGAAUACUGCUACGGGAAACAUGCAGCAGAGAAGAAAGAAUUCACAUUUCCCUGACAAAUUGCUCCAAGAAAACGAAAUAAGUAAAUAAAUAAAUAAAUUUAUUUUAGAUGUUCCCUGUUUGAAGGCAGAUACCACAUUCACACUUUCAAAGCAUUUUAAAAAAAUACAGUGCACAGAGUGAUCUCCUACAACAAUACAUAUAUUUGGUCUAGGCAGCAAGUGGCACAGCUCCGUGUCAUAAAGAACUGAAGUCAUAAGCACCAAGCUCCAAAGCUCCAGCCAAACCAACCAAAUGUGCCUAUGGACUGACAGAAUCCUUAAGUAAGACAGCCAGUAAAAGAGUGAAACAAAGCACCUGAUUCUCGGUCCUUUCUGAAAAUCCAGAGGCCUCCCUCUUGGCUCCACCACUGGCCUGUAAAGCCUGAGCUCUCAGUCUGAUGGAAGUCCUUGUUACUAGACAGCACAGAAUUUUGAUUGGAUUGAGUUUUAGGAAGCUGUUUUGGGAAGCUGGGAAAGAUACGGAUUCGGUGGGUGGACUGUUGAAUGGACAAAGAUCGGCUGCAGGACUGAGUCCAGAGAGCGGCAGUCAAUGGCUCCAUGUCUGGAUGGCAAUUGGUGAUGAGUGUUGUCCCACAGGGGUCCAUGCUGAGGCUGACACUCUUCAGUAUCUUCAUCAGCAACAUCAUCAGUGGGGUCGAGUGCACCCUCAGAAAAUUUGCUGAUGACACCAAGCUGUGGGCAGACACACCAGAGGGACGGGACACCAAACAGAGGGACCUGGACAGGCUCAAGCAGCAGGCACAGGUGCAGUGUCCUGUAUGUGGGACAAGAGAACCCCCCCACUACCAAUACAUGCUGGGGGAUGAAAAGACUGAGCAUAGGCCUGUCCCAAAAGACCUGGAGGUACUGCUGGAUGGCAAGCUGGACAUGAGCCAGCAGUGUGCCCUCCCAGCCCAGAAAACCAACCAUAUCCUGGUCUGCAUCAAAAGAAGCGUGGUCAGCAGGUGAAGGAAGGUGAUCCUGCCCUUCUGCUCUGUGCUGAAGAGGCCCCACCUGGAGUACUGCAUCCAGAUGUAGAGUCCUCAGUGCAGAAGAGACAUGGACCUGUUGGAGCACAUCCAGAGGAUGGCCACAAAAAAGGUGAACUAAGGGAUUGAACACCUCUCCUACAAGGACAGGCAGAGAGAGCUGGGGCUGUUCGGCCUGCAGAAGUGAAGGCUCUGAGGUGACCUGGUAACAGCCUUUCAAUACCUAAAGAGGAGCUAAAGGAAAGAACAAGGGAACAUUUAGGUUAGACAUAAGGAAAAUAUCUUUUACAGUGAGGGUGGUGAGGCAGUGGAACAGGUUGCCCAGAGUUGUGGUGGAUGCCCUGUCCCCUUCAAGGUGAGGCUGGAUCAGGCCCUGGGCAAGCUGAUCUAGGUGUGGAUGUCCUUGUUCGCUGUGUGGAAAUUGGACUAGAUCAUCAUAAAUGGUCCUUUCCAACUCUAAGGAGUUUAUGGUAUGAUACCUGAAGCCAUGAGACAUGAUGACACAAAGGACAUCAAUGGCCUGGUGUGCAACAAGGGCAGGCAGGGAAGCCUGCAUGCUCAGCAGCUCUGGGGAAACUCACAAAGUACUCCAAUCAGGAAGAUCCAGACCAGUUAUAGAGCCUCUCUGUGCCAGUCUCAGUAUUCAGUAGAUCAGAGGCCUUGCCUCAUCACACUGUCGGGUCCCAUAGCUGCAGAGCUAGCUAUUUAAUGGGGGGUCAGGGGAUGGAAGGAAGAGAGGCAGGGGGUUUGGGUAUCGUACAGGUUAGGAAACUAAUAGCAUCCCCAGACAACUGGAAUGGAGAUAUCUGGGGUGAUCCUGAUGAAGUGGCCCAGUAGAGGACAAUCCCUUGUUUCCUAUAAAUACAAAACCAGAUCUGCCAUAGAAACAGAAAGAACCAUAGGACCCCGGGGCGGUCGGCCGCAGUGUGCUCUGAGAAUUAUGCCCUGGCAUCUGUUACCACCGACAAAUUUGUAAGGGCAAUAAAGGAGAGAACCAGACAAAACGGGAACAAAAUUUUUGUGUUCACUAUGCUUGAGUAGUAUAGCUUGUAUUGUACCAAGUGAGGAUGAAGAAAAUGGCUACUGGGGCCCAGGGGUUUUCUUAAGCUCAGGUCCCAGCCUGGUUGAUUCACCUCACUUUAUCACUAGCCAUGUAGCUUAUUGGGCUGGAAAAAUAGACCCCACUGAGCAAGGUAACCCCCAUUUCAUCUUUAAGUGAGCUUCCCACAGCUAUCACAAAACCUGCCUGCAUACAAGCCAUGCACAAACAAGGGGCUUGUGGUGUUCCAUUAUCUGCUCCACAGAUUUCACAGUGCUUAAACCACUAGCUAGAGGAGCCCCAGAAAUCCUUAAACCCCAUCAAGCUGCAAAACAGAGUGAGAUCAAAAGGAACACAGAACAUAAUUUAAAUACAUGCCCUUAAACAAUACUCUGCAUGGGUGGAAUUGAUACAUGGCACAGGAGACACAGAGCGGACACGGGGAGAGGACACAGGGAGGACACAAAGACAUGAGUGGGGCAUGAGGACACAGAGAGAACACGGAGGCAGACACAGAGAGUACAUGUCAUAAAAUGGGCUGGGACAGCGUGGUGGCAGACAAACCAAGUUUGGAGUCCCAGGUUGGAGACUGUGAGAUGAGAAUCAUGAAAGAGGGAACAGAGACUUAACGAGAAGGUAUUGAACUGAAAGAGAGUUGCAAAGAAGAUCUGGAGAACACAGAAUCCCUUUAUGGAAAAGAGUGCCAGCUCCUGGCAUUUCCAGAGUUGCAAUGAUCAGUAAGCCAACCAGCAUUACCUUGGGGCUGAUUGAAGCGCUCCAGAAAUGAAAUAAUAGUGAAAGAAAGAAAUGUAGGUUAGUCCCUCUAUUACCAGUUCAGAGAAAGGGAGAUAACCCCUUCACAUUUAUCAGAGAACAAUUGAAGGGCAUCAUAAGGACAGGCACAGCAGAUAUAGCUGCCCUAAACUAGCUUAGGAUCUGCCCAGAAAGGCAAAGAUCAAAACCCUGCAAUAAAGAAAGCAUCACCUACCUCUUUCCAAGGACCGGGGCUCACCCAACAAACCAUAGGAGGCAGUCUCCAGAAAGAGACAACUCCUCUGGGGCUGCCAGCCCUUAAUUGAGGUUAGGGAGGGGUGGAGACAGGCUCAGCUCCAUCUGGUCCUGCAGGUGAAUUCCUUCCACCUGUGCUCACAGGGCUACACAGGUGCUCCAUCACUGCUUCAGGCUGUGAUCAGGCUUUUUCCAUAAAGGCAUGAAGAAAAAAAAAAAAAAAAAAAAAAAAAAAGACCAGCAGCCAAUUGGGUUUGCAUGUCUGGCAAGGGGAGGUUUAUCAGUGGAUGAGCUAUGAUGGCCCACAUGUUUUGAUGUUUUGAUUCCAGUCUGUCCUCAAAGGCAAUUGGUGAAAUUGCUAUUAGAUAGGGGAGCACAGAUUUCAAUACAGCAAGAUGCUGAGAUGCUACAUGUGUAGCAAAAGGGCUGAGAUUCCCGGUGUGAAUGGAGCUAGUGCUGUCUACCAAACUGUCUGGGUCAGCUUAUGUCUCCCCAGUGAGAAACAUGUGCCAUCUACUCACUUUGCAAUUGAAGACCAUUGCAAAAAUAUUGUAGGAUUUAGUGUCCUCAGUGGGUGAACCUGACACCUGCCCGUAUGGCAGCGUGUAGCCCUUUGCCUCAAACAUUGAUCCCAAACCCAAAGAAAUAGGGAGGCUGCAGCGUGUGUACUUCAUGCAGCCCCUGCGCUCCUCAAAUCAGAGAUCACUGACGUACUUCAGUACCUCAUUUCUGCUGCGGCACAACGUGGGAUUUCUGAAGUCACAGCAGAUUUGGAGAAAAGUCAAAUAAUCUCCAGAAUGUGUUCCCUGCACAACUUGCCCACAUGCAUGGGGCACAAGCCCCAUCUUGGGGGCAAUGACCCCCACUUGUGGGGCACUACCCCCACCCUACUGUCACAGCUGUGCCCCAAGGACACCGUCACCCCAGUGCACAUGGGUGGACUUCUCCCUGCACUCCACGCACCCCACAGGCAUCCCUGUCCCCAUUCUCAACCCCACGGUGACACUGGCAUGGAGCGAAGUGGGGCAGGGGACAUGGAGGGACUUAAGGGGACAUGGGGACAUGAGGGGACAUAUGGGGACACAGGGACACAUGGGGACAGGGGAACGUGGGGACAUAGGGGAACAUGGGGUUGACGUGUGGAGCCAGAGCCACAGAGGUGAGAGGAGGUGACACAUGGAGGUGACACAGGGAGGUGGCAGGCCGUGUCAGGAGGUGCUGGUGCCAUUCAAGCAGCACUACAGGGCAGCUGAGCAGUGUCAGCCCAACCUGGGGAUGAUGGUGACACCCGGUGCCAUGCUGCUGCUGGGUGGCCAUGCAGCCAAUGUUGUGACCACUAUGCUGAUGCUGCACAACCAUGGUGAGGAUAUGCAUGGGGUCACUGUCACCAUCCAGUACCCCCUGGGGACAGCAUUCCACAGAGCCAGGGCCACCUCAGUGAAGGCACCUGUCCCCAUAUCCCCACAGUGUCCCUUCUGUCUGUACCCAU
ensembl:lncRNA